GGCACGGCGUGGUGUCAAAUGAGGGUGAAAACACUCACCUGCCAGGGGAAGCCGAUUACUUCACCAGACUGACAGGAAACCUGCACCAGCUGCACAGUGAAGGGGUGGAGAAGAAAUGAGUGGAGGACUAACUUUAUUUGUUGCUAACAGUGUUCAAUACAACUUGUAUUUUGGAGGAAGUUGUCCUGCAGAUUCUGGGGUUGUACUGUUGCCUGAAGACAGCUUUGGCAAGAGGGCAGCUGCUGAGCUGGGCUUCAAGCUGGAUUUGUAUUUGUUUGCAGAAGAUCAAUAAACAUUCGCUGACAGGCUGAACUGGCAAACUUGAUGACAGUGGACUUCUUAAGAAAUCAAGAAGCCAAGGAAGAUUGUUUGGGAAUGAGUCUUGCGAAUAGCCACCCAUGGGCCAUUUGCAACCCUGUAAAGUGGCCACAUGUGUGUAACCGUAGGCUCCUCCUCGCUGCUCGGUGGUGGCUGCAGCUGCAGCUGCAUCCUGGGACCUGGUCUACAGCUGGCUGGAGGAAAAAGUGGUUCCCUGCAGUCUUCUGUUCCAGAAUAAAAUAAUUUAUGUAAAAUAUUGGGAGUUGAAGUUGGGUUUUUUUUGUUAGUUUUGUAGAAGUUAUCUAUUUGAACAGAAAUUAUUUUGAGCAGGUAGAAAGGAUUUGGGGUUAAAACACUUUCUGAAAUGCAGGCAGUUGUGAGCUUACCCUUCAUAGCAAAACCUGCUCCUCCCUGAUACCUAAAGACUUCAGUGUCUGCAGAGACUGAAAGCUGAAGAAAAGCAAUUCAUGGUGACUGACAAAACUGCUUAUGGCUAAGCUAGGACCGGUGCCAGAGAAGGUUCUUGUGGUCAACUUAAAAGUUCAAAGGGAGAAGAGAGAGGUAGUAUUGCAACCAUCAGGUUCCUUGUCUGAUAAGCCCUUGAAAUGGAGUGUGUUUAACUGCAGGGCUGGGCUCCACCAAGGCUAGAAAACCUCCCUUUUUGAAACGAAUGGAGGGUGGGCGUGGUAGUGCCCGAUGGGCACAAACAGCUCUGCCCAGGAGCUGGAUGGGAUUCCUGGCAGGAUGCCGCCCUGUGACAGCACUCGGUUUUAAAUCCUUUUCCUUUUGCCCUCUGUGUCGAGGUGCUGCUGACUGACAUGUUCAAGGUCACCUGUGUGGGCUGUGCUGAGGCUCGGCCAGAGCUGGUUAGAGGAGGUUUUGGUGCUGUUUUGGUCAGGUGAUGUGAGGAUCAGGAUUGUUCUUGUCAUGAAAGAGAUUUUGCUGAGCGCAUGUGAAUAAAAAACAGGCCUAACAGGCUGCCUUGUACCAUUGUAAGGUGGAUCUGAUGCAAACAAAUGUUAAUUUGAGACCUGGAACACAUGAUGGGCUCCAUGCUGGAGAUUACAUCUGGAACAGAACGGGUUUACAGACCAACCUUUUGUAAUGCUAGGAGGAGCCUGCUGUGAGCUUGAGGGAGUUGGAGGUUCCCUGGCCCAUGGCCGGGGUAUCUUGUCUCCGCAGUAAAUUGCUCCUCCCCAUCUGACGUUCACCAAAUGUCAUCCCAGGUGGAACAAGGCUGCGCUCAGAGCUGCUCCCCAGCUGCAGCCCAGGUCUCCUCGGUUUAACCCUCCUCCCAUCCCAUCCCUCUGGGGCUGUUUCCCAGUGGGAGUCUUACUGCUGUGUGCUACAGCUCCUCUGCUGCAGGAGGUAGGGGGUCUCGUCCCCGCCCAGUUCAACAAAACAACAGAAACGGGCAUAAAAGAAAACGAUCAUUCAACAUUUAUGUAAUUACACAAAGUGGGAAGGUGUCUCUGAUUACACUGUUGUGCCGGAUCAACUCUCUGGCUGCCACCAGCUGCAGCAGCCUCCCCAGUGGGUGUUCCAGAGCAGUGCUGGCUUACAGGGGGCAGCUGAGGGGUUCAAGACCUUCACCUCCCUUGGAUUUUUUGGGG